CAAAGAGUCUGGUUUCGGAUUCGCGCAUUUAUAUCUACGUUCUUCUUCAGUCGUUUCGCUUUCAACAGACGCAAAUAUAACCCAGCUCCCUCAUUCGCCGGAGAUAUAAGUAAAACUCGAAAGGGUUGGGUCAGUAAUUGCGCAUUAUACCGUUUGUUUUUCAGCCAUUCCGCUACCCAAACCCCCCCGGAGACCCAUAGCGAUCUCUGCAAUUCCACUCCAGGGAGACCCAGACAACCUGAUCCGUUACAGGAGACUCACAAAAAUUGUCAAGAUCGCUGUUAUACAGAAUCAUUCAAAAUGGAAUACAAAUAACAGACCCCAACAUCAAGAUAAGAAUGCUUGUAUUUGGAUAGAAUUAUGCACAACAUUCAGCUAAAGAAGUUGAUGAAUGUGUACUGUGAUAGACACAAGGAAAUUCCUGGCGAGGUAAUUUUUUUUAUUAUUUGACAAAUUUUACUGAUCUUUUUUCUUUUUUUUUUAUUGUCUGAAAGUCUCUUUGAAAAAUAAAAAGGGGCAACACAACAUCACCUUCUCAGUCAGGGAUUUUUUUACUGCUGCAGUUAAUGCCCAAUCUUGCAGCUUCGGAUGCGGUGAAGUAUAAUGGGACACGAAAGUAAGGGGAUAUAGCAGUUUCCCAUGAAAACCUGAUUGCAAAUGUUGCUGGUUGAAGUCUUGAAAUUAACUUCUAUCUAUUGGAUGUGAGAACUUGAAAUUGUUGGAGGACAUGGCGGAAAUGUGACCUACCGUGUUCCAUGAUUACAUAAUAGAGUAUAUGAUGGUGUUAUAAAUGCAGUGACGUCAUCUGGUGGUAGGAGAGAAAGAGUGUUUAACAAUGUGAAGAGGCAAGAACUACUUAAAGGCUAGAAUUCAUCUCCUAUGCUAUGUGGGACAAAUUAUUAGUAUUGCUACUUGAAAACAGAAGAAAAGUUAUUCAGAAUUGGUCAGGGGUUUUUGAUGGUCCUGAUCAAAUACUCAAAGUCAAAAAUUUGGUCAACAGUUAGCCCAGCGGCUUCUGAAAAUGCCCCCUGCAGUUCCCAAAAUAUUCUGCCUUUUUCCUUUAUAGAUUUCUAUCCAGGUUCUUGAAUCUGUACUUUAAAUCUUUCGUACAACAUCUGAUGUGUUAGCAUAUCCAACUGAUUUUAGGAAAAAAAAAGUUGAUUAUUGUUACUUACUAAACCCUUCUUUUCUUUUUUAAAUAAGUGCUGCAUUGAUAAUAUGCUACCUAGAUAAUGAUGUCUUAAAGUUCCUGGAGUUUGUGUCUAUAUCUAUGUUCUACUUGAUAAAAAUGCUUUCAUAUGGUGUAUAAUUUUAUCAAUCUAUUUUUUUACGUUAAAGUUCACUUAAAUUAAAAGUUAUUGAUGUGAAAUUUAUAAUUAAGAAAAGCUACUUUUAAUAAAAAGUAAUCAGGCUUUUCUCUCAUAUAUUUGUUACUCUCAUGACAAAAUAAUUUUUCAUUUAUUUUGGCAGUUUGAUAAAUUAUCGCUAAAGCAUCCUUUGGUGGUUGAAGAGGAACUCACAGUUGUUUUAAAUUUAUUUUUUAGGGUAAAGCUACUUUACCAACGAUAGCAAUGUUUAACCCAUCAUAUCAUACUUACAAUUCUGCACUCAUUAUGCCAAUAUUCUUGUAUCUCUUUACGAGAAUUAUAGCAAUAUGCCAAUUUUGAUUGAUAAAGAACACAGUACAUUGCUUCUUUUGGUAAAAAUUGGUCAAACAUUUUGGAUUAUGAAGGCCUGGUCAUAGAUCCAAAUGCUUUAAAAAAGAGAAUAUUCUAUGGGAAGGUUUGGGAAUUUUAAUUGGGAUCUUAUUCAUAUGAUUCGACAUAUGCAGAGAGGCGGUAUAUUUUCUCAGUUAAAACAUCAGAAAAACCAAUGGCAGAGUAUUUCUCCCCGGAAAAGGCUAAAAGGUUUACAAAAUUUGGAGAAAGGAAGGGUUUGAUCAAGAAAGAUGUGGUAUGAAAAGGACCAUACGAUUCAAAUUAUUAAAAAUGUUUGUUUUUUUUUGUAAAAAAAAAUGUAAGUAUUUUUUUUAAAGCUAAGGAUUGACAGGUCAUUGUCGUUCCAUUAGGGUGAUGAUAAUCCAAACAUUCGCCUUUUGCAUGGCUAAUUGUUGGCUUACUUGUUUAACAACUUUGAUCUUGGUUAUUGCCAGGUCACAUAUAUGUCCCUAUUAUUUAUAGAGACAGUGAUCUCCUCUCUCUUACUUUAAUGGAAAGAUCAACUCCAAAGUACAACUGUGAUCGAAAACGGCAUGCAUUAUCAAAGCAAAGUAGAAUACAAUAAGGCAAAAAGGUUUUUGUGGGAGUUGUUGAACACCUUCAUCUAUACGGAAGCCAAGGUUUGUCCCUGGUAUUGAUGUUCUUACAAAUUGUCUAUGAAGUCCAAGUAAAAUGGCUAUUGAUGUUCGAUUGGGGUCGACUGUAUCCAAUUAGAAGUACGUUCAUAUAUCACGUACCGGACCGAUUUCUAAUCGAUUGGGUACAGGGCGUUUCGAUUAAUCACUUUGACAUUUCAGUUGCUGAGAAUUUCUUCUGAGAGUGGUAUGAUGUGAUGGGUGGUUGGAGGGCUACAUGAGCUAAUGACAUUCUCUUCCAUCAGCAACUUGGGUUAAGCUAAACUUGUAUCAUUUUCAAAACUUAUUACUCAGGGUAGUAACAACCAUCACCAUUUUCGUCCACCAAAACCAGAUAAUGUUGCUACAAUAUGUUAUACAACUGGGACACGAAAGUAAGGGGGAUGUAGCAGUUUCCCAUGAAAACCUGAUUGCAAGUGUUGCUGUUGGAAGUCUUGAAAUUAACUUCUAUCCAUUUGAUGUUUAUGCAUAUCUUAUCCUCCUUUGGCACAUAUCGGAUAUAUAAAAGGUCCAACCAGAUCGUACUGAUGUGUACUUUGGUGCCUCAUUUGGAAAUAUCCGUGUUUCAGAAGUAAUGCUUGUGGAUGUUCCUGAGAUGAACUAUACAGCUGAGUUCUUUUUCUCUUCUGAUUGGGUAUCACCCUGUGUUCUUCAUCAGCAGUUUGGUGGUUGAAGAGGAACACACAUUUGGUUUUAAUUUUUUUUUUUUGGGUAAAUUUCAGAAAAUAGCAACAUGCCUCAUUCUUUUUUUACCAAUAUAGGAAAUAUACUUUAUUUUUACUGACGAUAGCAAUGGGUAACCCAUAAUACCAUACUUAAAAAUCUGCACUCAUUAUGGCAAUAUUCUUAUAUCUCUUUAUGAAUAAUAGCUAUUUAUUGCUAUAUAUGUUAUACAGUGGUCAAACUUUUUGGAUUAUGAAGGCCUAGUCAGGGAUCCAAAUACUUUAUAAAAGAAUACAUUCUAUGGGGAGGUGGAAUACAGCUUUCGAAAAGAGAUUUGGGAAUUUUUAUUGGGAUCUUAUUCAUACGGUUCAACAUAUGCAGAGAGGCGGUAUAUUGUCUCAGUUAAAACAUCAGAGUACAUGACUAUCAAAAAAACCAAUGGCAGGCUAAAAAAUUUACAAAAUUUGGAGAAAGGAAGGGUUUGAUAGAGAAAGAUGUGGUAUGAAAAGGACCAUACAAUUCAAAUUAUUUAAAAUGUUUGUUUUUUUUUUAUUUUUUUAUUUUUUUAUAAAUGUAAGUUUUAUACUAGUACUUAAGGAAUUUGACAGAGUUGAAUCCGGUCCAAAUUUUCAACUAAAUGCACCAUUCAAUGGAAUAUUGAAUUCCAAUUCCACCGGAAUCCACAAUUCUAAUUUAUAGCUGCGAUUUUCAAACAUGAUUGAAUGCACCAUUGAAUGGAAUAUUGAAUUCUAAUUUACACCAUUGAAUGCAACAUUGUAUAAGGACCACGACUUCCGCUCCUGCCAAUUCCCCUUUCAAUUUGAGGGUUUUUGGGUUAGACGUUCCAAUCACAGAAUUUAAACAAAUUCCUGAGAGGACAGUGUUUUCUGGGGUCUCGAUCUCUGGAUCCUCUUCAACUUCGAUUUGGGGUUCAUCUUCUUGAUCCUCGUCCUCAUGGGUUAUCGGCACACUUAAUUCUUUCUUCUUACAGCGAUGCCCGGUGUUUCAUUUUUCAUCGCAUCGAUAACAGAUGCCUUUUUCUCUUUUUUUUUUUAAUUUUUUUUGAAGUUCUUGAUCAGUGAGCCUUCGAAUUUCAGAGGAGUAGUGGUGGGGUGGCGUAUUAGGUUUUUUGAUGGGUAGAAGGUUGUUUUGACAGGAGUGAUAAGGGGAGUCUUUUUCUGGACCGCCGUAGGAGCCGAGUUUGGUUUCCUAGAAGCGUGGGAAUGAAGAUUACCUUCUACUUUGAUGGCGACUGACAUCGCAUGAUCAAUAGAUAGGUGUUCGAACAGUUGGACUUCCGAUCGUAUUUCAUCCUUUAGCCCGUUAAUAAACUGGCCCAAUAUCACAUCAUCCGGGAUAUUUUUAAGUGGGGCAAGUAGUCCGAUAAACGAACGCUGAAAUUCAUGCACCGACCCGGUUUGAAUUAGGGAUAACCAUUGCUGGUAUAGCGUACCUGCAUAGAUGGGUCGGAACUGACGAAGGAGAAGCGUCUUCAGUUCGUUCCAUUGUGUAACCUUUCGGAGUUCUCUCCAUGGAUAUUACCGGUGUGCUGCUCGGCUCUCCUGCCUCAAUAGUCUUUCCCUGGUUACCCUUGGCGAUGGCCCCUAAGAUCUCUUCAAACUUCUGUUCCAUUUUCAAUUGAUUCUGAUCGAUCUUCAGUUGGAUAGAAGCUAUUGAGUCUGCUUGGUGCUGAAUCUUAUGACCUUGGUUCUCCAGACGAUCAUACAAGGUACCCAACUCCAUCUCCAGUGAUUCCACCCGUUUAUGUUGAGCUCCUCCCGUCUCUUUCCCUCCUCCUCCUUUCUCUCCAGCCAUACUCCAGGCAAUUGCUCUGAUACCAAUUUGCUAUGGACUGUGGUGACAAAUAGUAGCUAUUCGAGAGGCUACACUCUCCAAAGGAAUAGAAACUUCUAAGAUAAUGAUGAUGCAUUCCUUGAGGCUGGCCAACCCCUUAAUAUGGCACGAAUGACAGCUGGGACUCCAAAUGCCCAUUUUGCCCCUGCUCCCGCAUUACCUCUGCAGUCAUGAUGGUUGGCCUGGUGGUCCCCCCUUCCCUUGGAAUCUUUUUCUGUUUUUUCCUUCUAUAUGUGAAUUUGAGUGGUGGGUGCAUAACAGAUGCUAUAUAAUAUACAAAUCAAUGAAAAUAGAUUGCUAUUUCUUGCAUUUAAAGCAAUAUUGAUGUAUACUAUCCGUGUUUCAGAAGUAAAGCUUGUGGAUGUUCCUGAGAUGAACUAUACAUCUGAAUUCUCUCUCUCUUCUGAUUGGGUAUCACCCUGUCUUCUUCUUCAUCAUCAUUUUUUUUUUCUGAAAUAUCUGAAUUUUAAACUGCACCAGUUGUAUUGCUACUUAAAAACAGAAGAAAAGUUUUUCAGAAUUGGUCAGGGGUUUUUGAUGGUAAUGGUCAAAUAGUAAAAGUCAAAAUCAUGAUCAAAAUGAAAGGAGGAGAAACAAUUUGCUCAGUGGCCUCUCAAAAUGCCCCAUGUAGUUCCCAAAAAAUUCUGCCUUUUUCUUUUAUAGAUUUCCAUCCAGGUUCUUGAAUCUGUACUUUGAAUCUUUCUUACAACAUCUGAUUUGUUAGCAUAUCCAACUAAUUUUAGGGAAAAAAAGUUGCUUAUUGUUCCUUACUUAACCCUUCUUUUCUAUUUUCAAUAAGUGCUGCACUGAUAAAGUGCUACUUGGAUAAUGAUGUCUUAAAGUUCCUGGAAUUUGUGUCUAUAUCUAUGUUCUACUUGAUAAAAAAGUUCUUUCAUAUGGUGUAUAAUUCAAUCAAUCUAUUUUUUUACGUUAAAAGUUCACUAAAAUUAAAAGUUAUUGAUGUGAAAUUCAUAAUUAAGAAAAGCCACUUUUAAUAAAAAGUAAUUAGGCUUUCCUCUCAUAUAAUUGCUACUCUAUCAUGACAAUUAUUUUUCAUAUAUUUUGGCAGUUUGAUAAAUUAUCGGUAAAGCAUUAUUUGGUGGUUGAAGAGGAACCCACAUUUGUUUUUAAUUUUUUUGGGUAAAUUUCAGAAAAUAGCAACGUGCCUCGUUCUUUUUUUUGGGUAAAUUGCUUCUAUUGGUAAAAAUGUAAGUACGUUGCUAUUAUGGUUAAAAAAAUACGUACGUUGUUAUGUGCUUUUUGAUGCAAUUUUGUAUACUCAUAGAAGUUAAUAGAAAAAUAUUAAGUAAUGUUAUUUCUAUAUAUGUUAUACAGUGGUCAAAGUUUUUGGAUUAUGAAGGUCACAUGUCCCUAUUAUUUAUAGAGUAAAUUACAAUUUUGUCCUUGUGAUAUUUGAAAAGUUAUGGUUUUCAUCUAGAUGUUUCAUUUGUUGCACAAGUGGUCUAUAAAGUAUAACUUUGUUGGAAGGUUUGUCCCUAACGUUGAUGGUGUUACGAAUUGUCCAUGAAGUCCAGGUAAAAUUACUAAUUCGCAUCAAUCUCCACCUUAAAAUUCCUCAAUCUCCACCUUAAAAUUCAUCACCUAACCAUAAAAUUCCUCAAUCUCCACCUUAAAACGAAAAAUUAAACUAAACUAAAACAAAAUUAAGAUCCAGGGUACCAACAAAUUGCAAAAAAAAAACAUGAGCAUCAAACUAAAAAGAUUAUCAGGUUAGAUUUUUUAGAUCUUGAUUUUGGUUUAAGUUUGUGGUUUUGAUUGAAUGUGGUUUGGUUUUUAUGAUUUAUGAGUAAGGAGAUUUGAAAUAAACAAUUUUAUUCCUCACAGGACAAUGAUCUCCUCUCUCUAAUAAUGUUGUUCAUCAAUCAUGAAGGAUAAAUCAUAAGCUUUCUGGUGUUUUCUUACUUUAGUGGAAAGAUCAAGUCCAAAGUUCAAUUGUGAUCGAAAACGGCAUGCACUCUUAACUCCUUGCAUUAUCAAAGUGUGAAAUUAACAUUGAGAAGACUAAGCAUCGAUCCAUCGUAUCUAGGUGAGUCGACGACUGGAGAAAUCGAACAGCCACUGUGAAAUGUGACUUAUCUCUCACCCAAAUCGCCAUGUUAGUCGACGAUUGGAAGCAACCAAAUCGACUUCAGGUACGCUCUAUUUUGACUUCAGGGACUCUCGAUUUUGACUCCAGGUACGAUCGAUUUAGACUCUAGGAACGUUAUUAGGUUCGAUUGGGAUCGCGAUUGGGGUCGACUGUAUCCAAUUCGAAGUACAUUCAUAUAUCACGUACCGGACUGAUUUCUAAUCGAUUGGGUACAGGGCGUUUCGGUACGUGUGACGCCAUUAGUUGGGUGUUUCUGGUAACUAUGUGGUCUAUAGUGUAGCUUUGUUGCAAGGUUUGUCCCUGGUAUUGAUGUUCUUACAAAUUGUCCAUGAAGUCCAAGUAAAAUGGCUAUUUUGCCCCUGUCCCUUUCCCCUUCAUCAUCUAAGCAUACACUCUUUCUCCAUCAUCUAACCAUAAAAUUCCUCAAUCUCCAUCUUAAACACUAAUCAAACCAAAACCCAAAAAUUAAACUAAACCUAAAACAAAAUUAAGAUCCAGGGUGCCAAUACUUUCAUAAUCAAACCUAUUAAGACAUUGUAAUUCUAUUAUUUUACUGUACCUAGAAAAACUAAACAUAUUUGUUUUUGGUUACCGGUUAUAACAUUAUACAUGGAUAUUGUACUUUGAAAAUCUAAACAGUUAUAACAUAGUAAGUACUCUAAAUUUAACCUAUUAAGAUAUUUUUCUUUUAUUUGUUUUUUCAUAUUACUUAUUUAUUUUUUUCAUAUAUUGCAUUAUAAAAUUUACCAUAAUAAGACUCUGUAUUUUGGAUAUCUAAACUUGUUUUGAUUUUGGUUAACAUUUAUAGCAUUUUAUAUUUAAAAAUCUAACAUAUUUAAGCCGUGGCGAAUCGACUGCUUAAAUACCAAGAUGAUCUUGGGCGGAGUAUGAACUACAACAACAUGGCACUCUCAUACAAGAUGAGCCAUUUACACAUAUCAAGGAUGGAUGGGCCCGAAUAUCCAUAUGUUAGGAGUUGGGAUGAAAGGUUGCCCCUGUUUUUAGAAAAUUAUAUAAAGGGCACUAAUUCCCGAGACAUAAAACUUCUUCGGGAGCUUUUGGUGACUUAUUUGUGAUUGGAGGUGUUGCUGAAGCUCUGGAAUUCGAAGAUCAAUCCUAAAGAGCAAUUUAGAAGAGAUCGAAAGGCAAAACACAUUCUCUUUUUCUUAAUCUAUUGUUUACAUUAUGUAUUUAUCAUUGGAUUCCGUUUUUGAGAUGUUAGGUGCUAUAAAUAUAAGCUAAAAACUCAUCACUUUUGUUUAGGGUAGAUUAGCUUGUUAAUAUGGACUGAUUUUAUGGUAUGAUUAUUUGAUUUGGUGAAAA